rnacentral:rRNA from 1 species
AGUGAACGCUGGCGAUAGGCCUAACACAUGCAAGUCGAACGGCAGCACAGUAAGAGCUUGCUCUUACGGGUGGCGAGUGGCGGACGGGUGAGGAAUACAUCGGAAUCUACUUUUUCGUGGGGGAUAACGUAGGGAAACUUACGCUAAUACCGCAUACGACCUACGGGUGAAAGCAGGGGAUCUUCGGACCUUGCGCGAUUGAAUGAGCCGAUGUCGGAUUAGCUAGUUGGCGGGGUAAAGGCCCACCAAGGCGACGAUCCGUAGCUGGUCUGAGAGAAUGAUCAGCCACACUGGAACUGAGACACGGUCCAGACUCCUACGGGAGGCAGCAGUGGGGAAUAUUGGACAAUGGGCGCAAGCCUGAUCCAGCCAUACCGCGUGGGUGAAGAAGGCCUUCGGGUUGUAAAGCCCUUUUGUUGGGAAAGAAAAGCAGCAGGUUAAUACCCCGCUGUUCUGACGGUACCCAAAGAAUAAGCACCGGCUAACUUCGUG